GUCCUCGAUGGCUCAGUCGGAUAAAGCAUUUGCCAAGUAAGCAGGAGAUCCCGGGUUUGAGUCCCGGUCGGGACA